GAGGUCUUAGCUUAAUUAAAGUAGUUGAUUUGCAUUCAAUAGAUGUGAGAUAUAGCCUCACAGUCCUUA
rnacentral:tRNA from 1 species